CCAAUCUGUCUGCAGCUGGAGACCUCUCUUGCCAAACUUCAGCAGGAAAAUCAGGCCCUGUGCAAGGAACUGGCACAGCUGGAGGCCUGGCAGCAACAAAGAGGAGAUGAUGGCACCCCUGGCCCCUUUGAAUCCUUUCAUUCGGGAAAUGGCAGAGAAGCAGCUGAGAGGGCAGCCGUUCUUGAAGCUGCCCAGAAGAGGGAGCCCCUGCUUCACGAAAGGCACUGAAACGCCCAGACCAGAGGAAGACUAUCGCCGGCCUGAAACAUGUCUCAGUGGCUUUUGAUGUCACUCAGUAUGCACCGUAUGGGCUCCCUGCGGUGGUCAUGAAAGGUUUUGCUGACAUCCCAUCUGGCCCCUCUUGUCCAUAUGUUCUCUGCUGGGGCAUUUUGGGAAGCGCCCCCAUCGCCCAGCUGGCACGGUGCAUGGAACCAGAGGAGGAUUCCUCUGAGGCAGAGGCGGGAACAGGCAUCUGAAAAAGGC